rnacentral:rRNA from 1 species
AUUGAACGCUGGCGGCAUGCUUUACACAUGCAAGUCGAACGGCAGCAUGGGUGCUUGCACCUGAUGGCGAGUGGCGAACGGGUGAGUAAUGUAUCGGAACAUAUCCGCAAGUGGGGGAUAACGUAGCGAAAGUUACGCUAAUACCGCAUAUUCCCUGAGGGGGAAAGGAGGGGAUCCGCAAGGACCUUUCGCUUACGGAGUGGCCGAUAUCAGAUUAGCUAGUUGGUGAGGUAAAGGCUCACCAAGGCGAAGUUCUGUAGCGGGUCUGAGAGGAUGAUCGGGCACACUGGGACUGAGACACGUCCCGGACUCCUACGGGAGGCAGCAGUGGGGAAUUUUGGACAAUGGGAGCAACCCUGAUCCAGCCAUGCCGCGUGAGUGAGGAAGGCGUUCGGGUUGUAAAGCUCUUUCAGCCGGAAAAAAAUCGCAUCACCUAAUACGUAGUGUGGAUGAUGGUACCGGAAGAAGAAGCACCGGCUAACUACGUGCCAGCCGCCGCGGUAAAAC